AUCUCAUUCAUAUGAAAACCCCUAUCAAAAUUAUUUUUCUUGCACAGAGCUAGUGAGAAAUACCAACAAUGGAAGACCCUAAAGUUGCCCAACCCACACCUCAGACCCUACCUCCACCCACACCUCAGACCCUACCCCCACAGAGCAAGAAGAGACCUCUCGAACAAAACUUAUCCAACUUUAAGAAUUCUCCUUAUUACAAGAUGCGCGCUGUUCUUAGAGAUCUUCGACCCCAUUUCAUAGAGGUUAAAUUUUGUGGAUUCUUUACAUUUUUCCAAGAAAUAUGUUUGGAGUAAUCUAAGAUUUUAUUACAUGGGUUUCUUGAAUUAUGUGGAAUUUGUGGGAGUUUUUCUGAUGCCCAAAAUGAAACGGUAAUUGAUAAAUUGAACUUUUAUUUUCUUACUAAAU
rnacentral:lncRNA from 1 species